GACUCUAGUCUAAGUUACGACUUUGUCCCGUUAUAUUCCUAUGUCCAUGAAUCUGCAGCGACCUCAAGAACCCCCAGAAAUACAUUUUCCUGAUAUUUAUAUCGUUUUUCAAAUUAAGUCUGCCAUAUUGGAUCCGCUCCCAUCUUGAAUUUCGGGAAUCUGAUCAUUGAUUCAUAAUCAGCGACUCCAAGAACCCCCAAAUAUACAUUUUUAUAAAAUUUGCAUUGUUUUUCGAAUUUGGGUCCGCCAUAUUGAAUUUCUAAAUUUUGACCUCAGAUUCGUAAUCAGCAACCUCGAAAACGCUCGAGUACCAAUUUUCAAGUCAAUCAUAGACAAAUACCAGCGACGUUACAUUUCUCGCCGCAAACAUCAUCACCGCCGAUGCGUCAAAUAAAUGUGUGCUAAACCAGGCUCCUCCCUCAAUAGAGACUACAAAAAACCUAGAUAAAUGUUUAGAAAUGCCAUAUGCAGUCUGAAGCAGAUCUUGGUACUUAAUAAUAAUUGUGCGAAUUUUUACAAUUUGCACUUCAGGUUUCAGGUAAAUUGCGUGCCGUAUAUUUGCCGAUUUUGAAACACAGCUCCAAACUGAAACCGGACUAUGUAAUAUCACAAAUUAAAUUAACAAACAAUUUAAUAAUUUUAAUGCCAUUAACUAUAAUAUUUUGUUAAAUCCUGUAGAACUUAUUGCGAAAAAUAUUACCUCAGCCAAAAUUUGAACUUGGACUUUCCUACUCUCCGCGCGGUCGUCUUAUCGACACUGAGGCAAUAUGUAGCAAUAUUUACACAAUAAGUGAUAAAUAUGGAAAGAAAUCUUCAUUUUUAUAUUAAAGUUUAAAGAGCUCCUGUCUAUUCACUACGUCAUCUUGGAUUGUAUCAGAAUUGAAAAAAUAUAUAAAUUAAGAAAUUCGUGCAAAACAUUACAAUAUAAAUAUUUUUCAAUAAAACACUAUUUGUAAUUGAUAGAGAAUAGAUUUGUAAAAUUACUAAUAAAUAUACUAAUAAAAACAGUAUUUCAAUAAUCAAUAAACAACCAUAUAUGAAUUUGGAAUUUAACUGCCUGACUGAAAAACAAAUAAAUUACAUAUAUAACAAUUAUUAGUAUUAAAAUAAAAAAAUAAAAAUAAAAAUUA